rnacentral:snRNA from 1 species
AUACCUUUCUCGGCCUUUUGGCUAAGAUCAAGUGCAGUAUCUGUUCUUAUCAGUUUAAUAUCUGAUACGUGGGCCAUGGCCCACCUCGAUAUUAAAUUAAUUUUUAUUUAUGGGGGGGAGGGCCCACCCACGGUAGCUUGCUGCCGGGGCCCUCGCUGCGUCGCCCAUGCGUUGCACUACUGCAUGUCGCUGGCGCACCCCUA